rnacentral:rRNA from 1 species
AUUGAACGCUGGCGGCAUGCCUUACACAUGCAAGUCGAACGGCAGCGCGGGAGCAAUCCUGGCGGCGAGUGGCGAACGGGUGAGUAAUAUAUCGGAACGUGCCCAGUAGUGGGGGAUAGCCCGGCGAAAGCCGGAUUAAUACCGCAUGAGACCUGAGGGUGAAAGCGGGGGAUCGCAAGACCUCGCGCUAUUGGAGCGGCCGAUAUCAGAUUAGCUAGUUGGUGGGGUAAAGGCCUACCAAGGCAACGAUCCGUAGCGGGUCUGAGAGGAUGAUCCGCCACACUGGGACUGAGACACGGCCCAGACUCCUACGGGAGGCAGCAGUGGGGAAUUUUGGACAAUGGGCGCAAGCCUGAUCCAGCCAUGCCGCGUGAGUGAAGAAGGCC